GAUGAAGAACGUAGCGAAAUGCGAUACGUAAUGUGAAUUGCAGAAUUCAGUGAAUCAUCGAAUCUUUGAACGCAUAUUGCGCUCUCUGGUAUUCCGGAGAGCAUGCUUGUUUGAGUAUCAGUAAACACCUCAACUUCCAUAUCUUUUUUGAAAUGGGAGUUGGACUUGAGUGAUCCCAACGCUUUUCCUCACCGAAAAGUGGCGGGUUACUUGAAAUGCAGGUGCAGCUGGACUUUUCUCUGAGCUAUAAGCAUAUCUAUUUAGUCUGCCUAAAAAACAGAUUAUUACCUUUGCUGCAGCUAACAUAAAGGAGAUUAGUUCUUGUGCUGACUGAUGCAGGAUUCACAAAGACGGCUUCGGUCGACUUUGUAAACUCGAUCUCAAAUCAAGUAAGACUACCCGCUGAACUUAAGCAUAUCAAUAAGCGGAGGA
rnacentral:misc_RNA from 1 species